UUGCCAGACUGCUACGGGAGGCAGCAGUGAGGAAUAUUGGUCAAUGGGCGGGAGCCUGAACCAGCCAAGUCGCGUGAGGGAUGACGGCCCUAUGGGUCGUAAACCUCUUUUGUCGGGGAGCAAAGGCGUCCACGUGUGGACGAGAGGAGAGUACCUGAAGAAAAAGCAUCGGCUAACUCCGUGCCAGCAGCCGCGGUAAUACGGAGGAUGCGAGCGUUAUCCGGAUUUAUUGGGUUUAAAGGGUGCGUAGGCGGAGUGUCAAGUCAGCGGUAAAAUUUCGGGGCUCAACCCCGUCGUGCCGUUGAAACUGACGCCCUUGAGUGAGUGAGAAGUAAGCGGAAUGCGUGGUGUAGCGGUGAAAUGCAUAGAUAUCACGCAGAACUCCGAUUGCGAAGGCAGCAUACCGGCGCCCGACUGACGCUGAGGCACGAAAGCGUGGGUAUCGAACAGGAUUAGAUACCCUAGUA
rnacentral:rRNA from 1 species